GAUGAACGCUGGCGGCGUGCCUAAUACAUGCAAGUCGAGCGAACAGACGAGGAGCUUGCUCCUCUGACGUUAUCGGCGGACGGGUGAGUAACACGUGGAUAACCUACCUAUAAGACUGGGAUAACUUCGGGAAACCGGAGCUAAUACCGGAUAAUAUAUUGAACUGCAUGGUUCAAUAGUGAAAGACGGUUUUGCUGUCACUUAUAGAUGGAUCCGCGCCGCAUUAGUUAGUUGGUAAGGUAACGGCUUACCAAGGCAACGAUGCGUAGCCGACCUGAGAGGGUGAUCGGCCAGACUGGAACUGAGACACGGCCCAGACUCCGACGGGAGGCAGCAGUAGGGAAUCUUCCGCAAUGGGCGAAAGCCUGACGGAGCAACGCCGCGUGAGUGAUGAAGGUCUUCGGAUGGUAAAACUCUGUUAUUAGGGAAGAACAAAUGUGUAAGUAACUAUGCACGUCUUGACGGUACCUAAUCAGAAAGCCACGGCUAACUACGUG
rnacentral:rRNA from 1 species